rnacentral:rRNA from 1 species
CACACCGCCCGUCACGUCAUGGGAGCGGGCAACACCUGAAGUCGCUGGGCGAACCCGCGAGGGAAGCAGGCGCCGAGGGUGGGGCUGGUGACUGGGACG